GAUGAACGCUGGCGGCGUGCCUAAUACAUGCAAGUCGAGCGAAGAGGGGACGGGUGAGUAACACGUGGAUAACCUCCUAUAAGACUGGGAUAACUUCGGGAAACCGGAGCUAAACCGGAUAAUUAUAACAGGAUCCGCUCUGCAUUAGCUAGUGGGUAAGGUAACGGCUUACCAAGGCAACGGUGCAUAGCCGACCUGAGAGGGUGAUCGGCCACACUGGAACUGAGACACGGUCCAGACUCCUACGGGAGGCAGCAGUAGGGAAGCUUCCGCAAUGGGCGAAAGCCUGACGGAGCAACGCCGCGUGUGUGAAGAAGGCCUUCGGAUCGUAAAACUCUGUUAGCAGGGAAGCGGUACCUAAUCAGAAAGCCACGGCUAACUACGUGCCAGCAGCCGCGGUAAUUC
rnacentral:rRNA from 1 species